rnacentral:lncRNA from 1 species
CGGUUCUUUUGGAUUUUUAAUAUGUAGUUUUCGAUACGAUUAAGCCCUCAAAGUUUUGGAAUUCUUUGUCAUUUGCCCUAGGGAUCGUGUUUAGCUGAUAUGUUUAUGGUUUUAGCUCUGUUUUAGUGAGUCUUGUGUUUAUGUGAUCGUACCGUAUUUUAGCAAUGAUUUUGUUUGUUCUGUAUAUGUAUAUGAUGAUUGAUAUAUUGUUUUUUGUUAUAUUUGUUUGCUUGUUGUAUGAUUGCCUUGGAUACUUGUCGUGUGUAGAAGGAGAGUAGUGCGUGAACUUUCAAGAGCAAGAGUAUGAAGAUUAUAAGCACCGUCAAAUUUUUUUUUGAGAAUGUGCAUGAUCACAUAUUUUAUUUAAAAAAAGACUACAACAACGCAACUUCGAGGGAACUCUUGAAGUGUGCUAUACAAGACAAGACCAACACCAAGGCCUUGUUUAGUUGGUGAAUUUGGGAGGUGCCAAAUUACUGUUACAGCACUGUAGCAUACUGUAGCGUUUCGUUUGUAUUUGUGAAUUAUUGUCCAAAUAUUGACUAAUUAGGCUCAAAAGAUUCGUCUCGCAAAGUACAACAAAAC